rnacentral:tRNA from 1 species
GGGCCGUUAGCUUAUCUGGUAGAGUACCGCAUUCGCAUUGCGGCGAGAGGAGUUCGAGUCUCCUACGGUCCA